rnacentral:misc_RNA from 1 species
GAGAAGAACGUAGCGAAAUGCGAUAAGUAGUGUGAAUUGCAGAAUUCAGUGAAUCAUCGAAUCUUUGAACGCACAUUGCGCCUUCUAGUAUUCUGGGAGGCAUGCCUGUUUGAGCGUCAUUAAACCUCUCUCAAGUAUGAUUACUUGGAUGUGAAGGAAGAGUACCUUAAACUUAAGGAGUGUUCUCCUUUGAAAUUGAUUAGCAGAUGGUAAUGUUAUUAAAUCCCUGAUGUUGUAAGAAAUAACAGUGGCUUUGUAGACUAUUAUCUAGCUUUAAAUUAUAAUUUUUAUUAUGGUUGACCUCAAAUCAGGUAAGGAUACCCGCUGAACUUAAGCAUAUCAAUAAGCGGAGGA